GGGCAGCCAAGUCGUGAGGCGGAGCUAAUCCCUUAAAGCCAUUCUCAGUUCGGAUUGUAGGCUGAAACUCGCCCACAUGAAGCUGGAGUUACUAGUAAUCGCAGAUCAGAAUGCUGCGGUGAAUGCGUUCCCGGGUCUUGUACACACCGCCCGUCACACCACGGAAGUUGGGGGCGCCCGAAGCCACUUAGCUAACCCUUUUGGGAAGCGAGUGUCGAAGGUGAAAUCAAUAACUGGGGUGAAGUCGUAACAAGGUACC
rnacentral:rRNA from 1 species